rnacentral:rRNA from 1 species
CCUACGUGGUGCAGCAGUGGGGAAUAUUGGACAAUGGGCGAAAGCCUGAUCCAGCCAUGCCGCGUGUGUGAAGAAGGCCUUCGGGUUGUAAAGCACUUUCAGUGGGGAAGAAAGCCUUGGGGCUAAUACCCUCGAGGAAGGACAUCACCCACAGAAGAAGCACCGGCUAACUCCGUGCCAGCAGCCGCGGUAAUACGGAGGGUGCGAGCGUUAAUCGGAAUUACUGGGCGUAAAGCGCGCGUAGGCGGUCUGAUAAGCCGGUUGUGAAAGCCCCGGGCUCAACCUGGGAACGGCAUCCGGAACUGUCAGGCUAGAGUGCAGGAGAGGAAGGUAGAAUUCCCGGUGUAGCGGUGAAAUGCGUAGAGAUCGGGAGGAAUACCAGUGGCGAAGGCGGCCUUCUGGACUGACACUGACGCUGAGGUGCGAAAGCGUGGGUAGCAAACAGGAUUAGAUACCCCGGUAGUC